rnacentral:tRNA from 1 species
UGGGGUGUAGCUCAGUGGUUGAGUGUUUGUCUAUAGCAUACAAGGCCUUGGUUUGAUUCCUGGCACUGCAA